UACGAAGGGGGCUAGCGUUGUUCGGAAUUACUGGGCGUAAAGCGCACGUAGGUGGACUAUUAAGUCAGGGGUGAAAUCCCGGGGCUCAACCCCGGAACUGCCUUUGAUACUGGUAGUCUCGAGUCCGGAAGAGGUGAGUGGAAUUCCGAGUGUAGAGGUGAAAUUCGUAGAUAUUCGGAGGAACACCAGUGGCGAAGGCGGCUCACUGGUCCGGUACUGACGCUGAGGUGCGAAAGCGUGGGGAGCAAACAGG
rnacentral:rRNA from 1 species